GGGGAUUUAGCUCAGUGGUAGAGCACUUGCCUAGCAAGCGUAAGGCCCUGGGUUCGGUCCCAGCUCCG
rnacentral:tRNA from 1 species